rnacentral:lncRNA from 1 species
AAGCAAUUUCAUCAUUAAACAUCAACCAUCUUUCAUCAUCAUGAUUCAUCGAAGCAUUUAUCUCAACACAAUUUUUUUUUCGAAAGCAAUAAAUAAACCAAAACAACUAAACAUAAAAAAAAAAAAAAUCCUAAAACAUGCAAACUAAAAAAAUUAAAGCACAUAAAAGCAAGUAAUUAUCCACCCCCAAACUUAAAAUUUACAUUGCCCUCAAUGUAAUUAGCACGAAGUUCAAGGAUAGAAAACACCUGACUAGUCGACAUGGCC